rnacentral:rRNA from 1 species
UGAGGAAUAUUGGUCAAUGGGCGCAAGCCUGAACCAGCCAUGCCGCGUGCAGGAUGACGGUCCUAUGGAUUGUAAACUGCUUUUAUACAGGAAGAAACACUCCCUCGUGAGGGAGCUUGACGGUACUGUAGGAAUAAGGAUCGGCUAACUCCGUGCCAGCAGCCGCGGUAAUACGGAGGAUCCAAGCGUUAUCCGGAAUCAUUGGGUUUAAAGGGUCCGUAGGCGGUUUAAUAAGUCAGUGGUGAAAGCCUUCCGCUUAACGGGAGAACGGCCAUUGAUACUGUUAGACUUGAAUUAUUAGGAAGUAACUAGAAUAUGUAGUGUAGCGGUGAAAUGCUUAGAGAUUACAUGGAAUACCAAUUGCGAAGGCAGGUUACUACUAAUUGAUUGACGCUGAUGGACGAAAGCGUGGGUAGCGAACAGG